rnacentral:rRNA from 1 species
UACGUAGGGUGCAAGCGUUGUCCGGAAUUAUUGGGCGUAAAGAGCUCGUAGGCGGUUUGUCGCGUCUGCUGUGAAAACUCGAGGCUUAACCUCGAGACGUCGGUGGAAACUGCCUGGCUAGAGUCCGGAAGAGGAGAGUGGAAUUCCUGGUGUAGCGGUGAAAUGCGCAGAUAUCAGGAAGAACACCCGUGGCUAAGGCGGCUCUCUAGUACGGUACUGACGCUGAGACGCGAAAGCGUGGGGAGCAACAGGAUUAGAACCUAC